UACGGAGGGUGCGAGCGUUGUCCGGAAUCAUUGGGCGUAAAGGGCGCGUAGGUGGCGGGACAAGCGUGCGGUGAAAGCUCGGGGCUCAACCCCGAGUCGGCCGUGCGAACUGUUUUGCUUGAGCACUGUAGAGGCAGGCGGAAUUCCGGGUGUAGCGGUGGAAUGCGUAGAGAUCCGGAAGAACACCGGUGGCGAAGGCGGCCUGCUGGGCAGUAGCUGACACUGAGGCGCGAAAGCGUGGGGAGCGAACAGG
rnacentral:rRNA from 1 species